rnacentral:rRNA from 1 species
UACGGGGGGGGGCAAGCGUUGUUCGGAAUUACUGGGCGUAAAGGGCUCGUAGGCGGCCAACUAAGUCGGAUGUGAAAUCCCCAGGCUUAACCUGGGAACUGCAUCCGAUACUGGAUGGCUUGAAUCCGGGAGAGGGAUGCAGAAUUCCGGGUGUAGCGGUGAAAUGCGUAGAUAUCCGGAGGAACACCGGUGGCGAAGGCGGCUUUCUAGACCGACACUGACGCUGAGGCGCGAAAGCUAGGGGAGCAAACGGG